CAGUCACCCGCUUCGUUUCAGUCAGUAGUUUGUGACUUGUUCUUUUGUUCAUGUUGUAAGUAGUAUUGAUUUACAAUUUACACAUUUAGCAGGAGCAGCAAUGUGUGGAACACCGCUUCGCAGUGGUGCUACGAUCGGCCAAUUCUUCGAAUUCAAUUAAGAAUAUGUUCAGCAUCCGCAAGUAACAUAGGAAUCUUCACCGAUGGUUCUAACGAUGGGACCACAGCCCCCAAUGGUACGCCAGCAACAACCGAUUCUUCUGAUACUUCGGACCCACCGACACCACCCAUCAAGAAGCGGAAGACACUUUGAAGACCUUGACAGCUGGAAUUUUGAAGGAAGUGGGAGCACGGAACGAAAUGCAGAGCGACGCCACCUUGCGAUGCAUUCGCGUGACGACAUUACCUUCACAAUAAUUUGCCUUGAAGAAC
rnacentral:sRNA from 1 species